UAUCAAAGAAAGGUUCCACACUGUGAGUUGAAUGCAGACAUCACGAAGAAGGUUCUGAGAAUGCUUCUGUUUAGUUCUGUGCAGUUUAUCCCGUUUCCAACGAAAUGCUCAGAGAGGACCAAAUAUCCACUUGCAGUUUCUACAAAAAGAGUGUUUCAAAGCUGAACUAUCAAAGAAAGGUUCAGCACUGUGAGUUGAAUGCAAACAUCACGAAGAGGGU
rnacentral:lncRNA from 1 species